GACGAACGCUGGCGGCGUGCUUAACACAUGCAAGUCGAACGAAGUGGCGAACGGGUGAGUAACGCGUCAUCAACCUGCCCUUCAGAGGGGGACAACAGUUGGAAACGACUGCUAAUCCCGCAUACUGAAGGAGGGGAUUGCGUCGGAAUGGCUCGUUGGGGGGGUAACGGCCCACCAAGGCGAUGAUCAGUAGCCGGGCCUGGAGGAUGGACGGCCAAAUUUGGACUGGGACACGGCCCAGACUCCCACGGGAGGGCGCAGUGGGGAAUCUUCCGCAAAGGACGAAAGUCUGGAGGAACAACGGCGCGUGAGUGAUGACGGGCUUCGGGUUGUUAAGCGCUGUUAAUCGGGAAGCGGUACCUGAAUAGAAAGCCACGGCUAACUACGUGCCAGCAGCCGCGGUAAUUC
rnacentral:rRNA from 1 species